GAAACCAACAGGGAUUGCCUCAGUAACGGCGAGUGAAGCGGCAAAAGCUCAAAUUUGAAACCCUCGGGAUUGUAAUUUGAAGAUUUGGCAUUGGAGAAAGCUAACCCAAGUUGCUUGGAAUAGUACGUCAUAGAGGGUGACAACCCCGUCUGGCUAACCGUUCUCCAUGUAUUGCCUUAUCAAAGAGUCGAGUUGUUUGGGAAUGCAGCUCAAAGUGGGUGGUAAACUCCAUCUAAAGCUAAAUACUGGUGAGAGACCGAUAGCGAACAAGUACUGUGAAGGAAAGGUGAAAAGAACUUUGAAAAGAGAGUGAAAUAGUAUGUGAAAUUGUUGAUAGGGAAGGAAAUGAGUGGAGAGUGGCCGAGGUUUCAGCCGCCCCUCGUGGGCGGUGUACUGCCGACGCCGAGUCAUCGAUAGCGAGACGAGGGUUACAAAUGGGAGCGCCUUCGGGCGUUCUCCCCUAACCCUCCACACUGCCNCCGACG
rnacentral:rRNA from 1 species